rnacentral:lncRNA from 1 species
UUCCUUCCCCCCUCCCCCCCCCCAAAAAAAAAAAAUUAAAUGGAAAUUUUGAAUUUCAUUCAUUCUCAAAAAGGGACUUUAAAGUUUCGUCAUCCAUGUUUAGUCUUAAGGAUGAAAGAGGUAGACAAGAGAGCUGAUUUGUCUUGAAUUCAGAUUUAAAAAUCGUAAUUCCUAAUGGGCUUUAGAAACCGCCAGAAAAGCGGUAACCAAAUCUUCGGAAUUUAUGUGUUGCAACCUCCGAAUUCUGCUACAAAGUAGUGCGAAGGCGAAACUUUGCGUACUUCUAGUCUAGACCCUAAAAACACGCAAAGCGUAAUUACCGGUAGCGUGACUUGGAGCAAGAAUGCGAACGGCAUCACGCAUAGACCAAAAAAAUAGGGCACGGGAUGUAUUUUCAAUGAUCUCGAACAACGUCCAGAGCGUGAUCCUCGAGCAAACUUAUUUACAAAAAUGCGAGGGAGGGAUGGCUUGAAAAACAAGGGGGGAUUGAAAACGAUAACACGCGAAGUUUCAGCAGAUGUCUCGAUGAAACCGCUGUAUCCUUCGAAGUUUAAACUAAAAAAACUAUAAAAAGAAAUGGUUAGUUGCUGGCUUCGCAGAAAACGCCGUAUUUUCCAGUGCGAACCAAAAGUGAGCUCAAACAUGGAUCGCCGCUGUCUGAUUUUGAUUUCGACUCUAUUCGUCCAGAGUUUGUACGGAGCCUCGAUCGAGGUGCCGUCGACGACGAUCAACGGGGACGUGAGCUCGGCGGCGACUCUGAACGGAACCCCCCUGGAGAACUUGCCGAACUUGACCCCGGAGGAUGCCAAAGUCCUAGCCGAGCUCCAGCGGCUCCGCCACAGCGGCGAGCGGUUCCGCGGCGAGGCCAUGCAGUUCAUCCAGUCCCUCCCGAACCGCCUCUCGCAGGGCUUCGCCCAGAGCCACCAGCUCUUCCAGCUCCUCGCCCAGAUGUUCUCCUCUGCGGUCAACGAUCAGAUCCAGACCAUCCAGGCCGGCGGAAGGUACCUGGGCGAGAACGCCAAAAAUCUUGCUCUGGAGGGCCUGAAACGCGGACAGGACGGAAUCAGCGCCGGCGUUCAAAUGGGUGAGAAAGUGCUUGAGAGGGUUCGAAGCAACGGUCAAGCACUCCUGCAGAACGGCAUGAGCUACCUCCAGUCCGGUGGAUCAGGGUCCGCCAGCAUCACGACCAGGGAUUUGAGCGACCAAAUUACCGCCCCGUUCAAUAAUCAGUACACACAGCAGUUCACUUCGACCUUGAAGAAUGGUGCCAAUACUGUGACGUCGCAGCUUCCCAACCCCAACCAACAUCCUGAGGACGAUGACGAUGCUCUAUUGAGGGCCCAGACCCAAGACGACCUAGACGACGAUGUUGACUUCGAGGACGGCCUAGAAUCCCAGAAACUAACCCGACGGGACGACAAGCCUGUGACCGGGGUGCUCUCGGACGAGAUCAGCGGUGUGGGGGCGGCCGGGGCGGACAUGUUCAAGAACGUGGCUAGAUUCACAUCGGGCGGGAUCCGGGGGCUCCUGGACGCCCUGUCCACCGUCCUGGUGACCACGAGCGAGGUCGGAGGCCACGCCAGGAGCGCCUUCAGCAGCAUCAACAAGUCCGGGGCCGGCGCCAUCAGCUCCGUCAUCGACACCGGUGGCAACAUCGUCUCCGGGGGUUUGGACAAGGCUGGGUCCGUCGUUGGGUCCUUGAGAGUUGGUGGUGGUGCCGCUGCUCCCCCCAAGGCUUGAUCGAGGGUUUGUGUUUGGUUUGUUUUACUUACAAUGACAAGGACAAUGUCAAUAGAAUUAAACUUAUACUCAGAGGCUAAAUCGUUUCUUUCUUUUUUCCACCUUGAGCCUCACAAGUCGGUCAG